UACGUAGGGCGCAAGCGUUGUCCGGAAUUAUUGGGCGUAAAGAGCUCGUAGGCAGCCUGUCGCGUCUGCUGUGAAAUCCCGGGGCUUAACCCCGGGCGUGCAGUGGAUACGGGCUGGCUGGAGGCAGGCAGGGGAGAAUGGAAUUCCCGGUGUAGCGGUGAAAUGCGCAGAUAUCGGGAGGAACACCGGUGGCGAAGGCGGCAUCCUGGACCAACACUGACGCUGAGUGAGCGAAAGCCAGGGGAGCAAACGGG
rnacentral:rRNA from 1 species